rnacentral:rRNA from 1 species
GCCUACGGGAGGCAGCAGUGGGGAAUAUUAGGCAAUGGGGGAAACCCUGACCUAGCGACGCCGCGUGAAGGAAGAAGGUUUUCGGAUUGUAAACUUCUUUUAAGAGGGACGAUAAUGACGGUACCUCUUGAAUAAGCCACGGCUAACUACGUGCCAGCAGCCGCGGUAA